rnacentral:rRNA from 1 species
GACGAACCGUGCGAACGUUAUUCGGAAUCACUGGGCUUAAAGCGCGUGUAGGCGGGCCGGCACGUCGGUCGCUGAAAUCCCCCGGCUCAACCGGGGAACGGGCGCCGAUACGACCGGCCUGGAGGGGAGUAGGGGGACCUGGAACUUCCGGUGGAGCGGUGAAAUGCGUUGAGAUCGGAAGGAACGCCCGUGGCGAAAGCGAGGUCCUGGGCUCCUGCUGACGCUGAGACGCGAAAGCCAGGGGAGCGAACGGG